rnacentral:rRNA from 1 species
CGAACGCUGGCGGCGUGCCUAACACAUGCAAGUCGAACGGAUUUGAGGGGCUUGCUCCUCAAGUUAGUGGCGCACGGGUGAGUAACGCGUAGAUAAUCUGCCUGAUGAUCCGGGAUAACACUUCGAAAGGGGUGCUAAUACCGGAUAAGCCCACGGGGUCUUUGGACUUUGCGGGAAAAGGGGGGGACCUUCGGGCCUUCUGUCAUCAGAUGAGUCUGCGUACCAUUAGCUAGUUGGUAGGGUAAAGGCCUACCAAGGCUACGAUGGUUAGCUGGUUUGAGAGAAUGAUCAGCCACACUGGAACUGAGACACGGUCCAGACUCCUACGGGAGGCAGCAGUGGGGAAUUUUGCGCAAUGGGCGAAAGCCUGACGCAGCAACGCCGCGUGAGUGAUGAAGGCUUUCGGGUCGUAAAGCUCUGUCGAGGGGAAAGAAGUGUACGGGGGCUAAUAUCCUCUGUACUUGACGGUACCCCUAAAGGAAGCACCGGCUAACUCCGUG